rnacentral:rRNA from 1 species
AAUAGAUACCCGGGUAGUCCACGCCGUAAACGAUGAGUGCUAAGUGUUAGAGGGUUUCCGCCCUUUAGUGCUGCAGCUAACGCAUUAAGCACUCCGCCUGGGGAGUACGGCCGCAAGGCUGAAACUCAAAGGAAUUGACGGGGGCCCGCACAAGCGGUGGAGCAUGUGGUUUAAUUCGAAGCAACGCGAAGAACCUUACCAGGUCUUGACAUCCUCUGCCGACCCUAGAGAUAGGGCGUUCCCCUUCGGGGGACAGAGUGACAGGUGGUGCAUGGUUGUCGUCAGCUCGUGUCGUGAGAUGUUGGGUUAAGUCCCGCAACGAGCGCAACCCUUGAUCUUAGUUGCCAGCAUUCAGUUGGGCACUCUAAGGUGACUGCCGGUGACAAACCGGAGGAAGGUGGGGAUGACGUCAAAUCAUCAUGCCCCUUAUGACCUGGGCUACACACGUGCUACAAUGGAUGGUACAAAGAGCAGCGAACCCGCGAGGGUAAGCCAAUCUCAUAAAGCCAUUCUCAGUUCGGA